rfam:Bacteroides fragilis 419 putative metalloprotease II (t3) and BFT-3 (bft-3) genes, complete cds; and unknown gene.
UCCGUUGUUCCGUCAACGGUAACCUACGGACAGAUGCACCAAUAGUGAUAAUUCUGUAUCAAGCUGUCUGGACAAUGUACUCCUUCCGAAAGGAAAAGACAGAGCCGUAAGGGAAAGACAAUAACUCUUAGUAUCAUAGAGUUGGGAGG